rnacentral:ncRNA from 2 species
AAUCUAUGCACACUGCCAGGUGCCUGCCCUCUCGCUCGAGGGGAAAGGUGAAACGGGAAACAGGUGAAAUGCCUGUGCUGCCCCCGCAACGGUAAGCGAGUAUGGAUGUGCCAUCGACGCCACUGGGCCUUGUGCCUGGGAAGGCGGUGCAUCAAGCCUCGCGAGCCCGGAGACCGGCCUGCCAGUCACGAAGGAA